rnacentral:rRNA from 1 species
UGGGGAAUAUUGGACAAUGGGGGCAACCCUGAUCCAGCAAUGCCGCGUGUGUGAAGAAGGUUUUCGGAUUGUAAAGCACUUUCGGCGGGGACGAUGAUGACGGUACCCGCAGAAGAAGCCCCGGCUAACUUCGUGCCAGCAGCCGCGGUAAUACGAAGGGGGCUAGCGUUGCUCGGAAUGACUGGGCGUAAAGGGCGUGUAGGCGGUUUGUACAGUCAGAUGUGAAAUCCCCGGGCUUAACCUGGGAGCUGCAUUUGAGACGUGCAGACUAGGGUGUGAGAGAGGGUUGUGGAAUUCCCAGUGUAGAGGUGAAAUUCGUAGAUAUUGGGAAGAACACCGGUGGCGAAGGCGGCAACCUGGCUCAUUACUGACGCUGAGGCGCGAAAGCGUGGGGAGCAAACAGGAUUAGAUACCCUGGUAGUCCACGCUGUAAACGAUGUGUGCUGGAUGUUGGGUAACUUAGUUAUUCAGUGUCGUAGCUAACGCGAUAAGCACACCGCCUGGGGAGUACGGCCGCAAGGUUGAAAC